rnacentral:rRNA from 1 species
CACGCUGGCGGCUCCGUGCCUAACACAUGCAAGUCGUAACGAGAAAGUCCAGCAAGGAUGAGUACAGUGGCGAACCGGGUGAGUUAACACGUGACUAACCUACCUCUUAGUGGGGAAUAACUCCGGGGAAACCGGAGGCUAAUACCCGCAUAACAUCGCAAGAUCAAAGCGAAAGGCGCUGGGCGAGGGGGUCGCCGGCUGAUUAGCCUAGUGGUGGGUAGGGUAACGGGCCUACCAAGGCGAAGAUCGGUAUCCGGCUGAGAGGGCGCACGGGACACACUGGAACUGAAACACGGUCCAGACUCCUACGGGAGGCAGCAGUGGGAAUUUUGCGCACAUGGGGGAACCCUGACGCAGCAACGCCGCGUGGAGGAUGAAGUCCCUGGGAUGUAAACUCCUUUCGACCCGACGAUACUGUGACGGUACGGGUGAAGAAGCACCGGCUAACUCUGUGCCAGCAGCCGCGGUAAUACAGAGGGUGCGAGCGUUGUUCGGAAUUAUUGGGCGUAAGGGCGCGUAGGCCGGUGCGGUAAGUCACUUGUGAAAUCUCCUGGCUCAACUGGGAGCUUGCAGGCGAAACUGCCAGUGCUGGAGUGUGGGAGAGGUGCGUGAAUUCCCGGUGUAGCGGUGAAGAAUGCGUAGAUAUCGGGAGGACACCUGUGGCGAAGCGGCUCACUGGACCACAACUGACGCUGAUUCGCGAAAGCUAGGGGAGCAUAACAGGAUUAGAUACCCUGGUAGUCCUAGCCCUAAACGAUGAUUGCUUGGUGUGUCGGGUACCCAAUCCCGCCGUGCCGAAGCUAACGCGAUAAGCCAAUCCGCCUGGGGAGUACGGUCGCAAGACUGAAACUCAAAGGAAUGGACGGGGGCCCGCACAAGCGGUGGAGCAUGUGGUUCAAUUCGACGCAACGCGAAGAACCUUACCUGGGCUCGAAAUGUAGUGGACCGGGUGGGAAACAUCCCUUCCCGCAAGGGUCGCUAUAUAGGUGCUGCAUGGCUGUCGUCAAGCUCGUGUCGUGAGAUGUUGGGUUAAGUCCCCGCAACGAGCGCAACCCUUAUUGUCAGUUGCCAUCAUUCAGUUGGGCACUCUGGCGAAACCGCCUCGGAUAACGGGGAGGAAGGUGGGGAUGACCGUCAAGUCUCAUGGCCUUAUGUCCAGGGCUACACACGUGCUACAAUGGUCGGUACAAACCGUCGCAAAACCCGUGAGGGGGAGCUAAUCGGAAAAGCCGACCUCAGUUCGGAUUGGAGUCUGCAACUCGACUCCUAUGAAGCUGGAAAUCGCUAGUAAUCGCGGAUCAGAACGCCGCGGUGAAUACGUUCCCGGCCUUGUACACACCGCCCGUCACAUCACGAAGUGGGCUGUACUAGAAGCAGGUGUGGCCAACCGCAAGGAGGCAGCCUUCCAAGGUAUAAACUCAUGAUUGGGGUG